UCUAAUGCUUUAACAUAUUUCUUUCUUUUUCAAGUCAUUGUUGUGAUUUACAGGGAGACUGGUACAAUGAAUGCAACGAUAAAUUGACCAUCGUGCAGACAUCUACUGGUAUGCUUUUGGGAAACUACAUAAUGGAUGUCGAGUUGUUUACUAGCAUGGCAGAUGACUGCAUCCAGGAAUGUUUCGUAUAGCACCGAGCAACAAGGAGUUUUCAGUGUAACUGCUGUUAGAGUUUGGUUGGAUCUGCACUUACAGAGGCUCUUGUUUGUUUGUACAUUGUACAUAUCUACAGCCAAUAAAAACUUUUCAACUCUA